GAUUAAGUUAUUAAGGGCGCACGGUGGAUGCCUUGGCACUAGAAGCCGAUGAAGGACGUUACUAACGACGAUAUGCUUUGGGGAGCUGUAAGUAAGCUUUGAUCCAGAGAUUUCCGAAUGGGGAAACCCAGCAUGAGUUAUGUCAUGUUAUCGAUAUGUGAAUACAUAGCAUAUCAGAAGGCACACCCGGAGAACUGAAACAUCUUAGUACCCGGAGGAAGAGAAAGAAAAUUCGAUUCCCUUAGUAGCGGCGAGCGAAACGGGAAGAGCCCAAACCAACAAGCUUGCUUGUUGGGGUUGUAGGACACUCUAUACGGAGUUACAAAGGACGACA
rnacentral:rRNA from 1 species